rnacentral:rRNA from 1 species
CCCUUGAAGACGACGAGGUAGAUAGGGCAGAGGUGGAAGUGCAGUAAUGCAUGGAGCUGACUGUUACUAAUCGGUCGAGGGCUUAUCCAG